rnacentral:rRNA from 1 species
UACGUAGGGUGCAAGCGUUAAUCGGAAUUACUGGGCGUAAAGCGUGCGCAGGCGGUUAUUCAAGUCAGAGGUGAAAGCCCCGGGCUCAACCCGGGAAUGGCCUUUGAGACUGGAUAGCUAGAGUGUGAGAGAGGUGAGUGGAAUUCCCAGUGUAGAGGUGAAAUUCGUAGAUAUUGGGAAGAACACCCGUGGCGAAAGCGGCUCUCUGGAACGGUACUGACGCUGAGACGCGAAAGCGUGGGGAGCGAACAGG